UAUUCCGGUAUGAUAGACCUCCUUCACCUUCGCUUUUCUUUUGCUCGUGUGAGAUUUUGGAGAAAACAAAAUCAAAGCCCAUAUUUCAAUGCAAAUAACUCAUCUUGUUCAUAGCUCGAGUUAGACUAGACAGGACCACAAAACAAAUCUGCAGUGAUGCAACAAAGUGGUUUAGAGUGUGUUUUGGGGUUUCAGGUUUAACCUCUGGAGUCCGAGAGCUGACAUGGGGUAGACACCUGUUUGGACAAGCUAAAUCAUAGCAAGCCAGUCAAAUCUCUAAUUCACCAAGAGACAUCAAGUGGGACGACAGACAAUUGACAUACUUGGGUGAAGCUCCGUGAACUGUAUUAUAGUCAAUAGUGAAGCUCCGUGAACUGUAUUAUAGUCAUUGCACUCUAUAUACCUGCCAGUUCACUCUCCAUCAACCCCACUGAGCCACUCAUCCAGUGCAUUUCAAAUGAAUUUAGGCACAAUUCUCUGGCACUCCAUGCAACCAUCCUAGCUACCGUCCAUAACGUUCUUCCAAGCUUUCUCUACAAAACUGACAAUGGGUUAGAGCUGUUAUGCAUCACAAAAGUGCAUAUUAUUAAUAAAAUGGAUCCAUCUGACGGUAGCGUCGAUGGUGAAGAGGCCUGGCAAGGUCAACGCGUCUAUCUGAUCUGAGGAUGGAUCGAUGGAUGAAGGAG
rnacentral:lncRNA from 1 species